UUCGAGAGAGCUUUUUUUCGUGAUGGAGAAAGAGAGUAAAAAAAAUUUUCCACACGCGAAACACAACUCCCAGCCGGACCACUCACGCCUUGCCACGUCCUUAAGGAUUUGAUCCUUAGACGCCUUAAUUAAGGAUCAAUCCUUCGGUUACGAAAUUUUUUUUUUAUUAUUUAUAUGUCAUUUGCCUAAAUAAUCGUGCUAAGGAUUCAUUACGAACCCGCGUUGCAGGUGCUCUUAGAACUUCUCGUUGGACUUGCUCUUAUUUGCAAGAAAAAAACUAAAUUAUCGAUGUAAACCGGUUUGCCGGUUCAAAGACAAGUCAGAGAAAAUGUAGUUUGGGUAAUAAUAGUAUAGGCCGGACCAGGGGUUGAAGAUUAUAAAGCUUGCUUUAAUCCCAAAUUACGGGCAUAUAUAUACCGUCGCUAGGGUUUCCUUCCAGCACAAAAGUGUUGCUAUGCGGAAACCAGUCGGUAAUUGUUUUGUUCUCAGUAGGAGUUUAAGUAAUUCGCGUAAGGCAGUGUUGUUUCCUCCUCCUUGUCGCUCGAGCCGGCGCAAUGAUCCUGCCAAGUUGAAGAGAAGGCUCCUCAAGUGGUCUGAUGUUACCACAACCAACACCACAAUGCCUAAGUCGUCUUCAUCAAGUACAAGUAAGCAGCAGCUCGGAUCAUCUUCAAAAGAAGAAGAUGCUCGUAAUGAUGAAGCCCAAAGCGAAAUCCCCACCUAAGUUGUUGUUGUUGUUUUACCUAAACUUUCUUUGCUCAGUACUGUUGUUUUUUUAUGUUAUAUAUGUGUGGGUUGGAAAAAUCUCACCCACUGUCACAACAAUAAGCUGCACUUCGGAGAUGAUUCCAGCAUCAUUGAGGAUGACUGUGCCAUGAUCUUACCCACUGUCAUCAAAUUUGAACGUCAGGUAACUACAAACUCACACACAAUGUGCACAUGUAUCACCAAAACUAAACCAGUUAGGACAGAGACUAGACCAUAAAACUUGAACCAACUGUUUCACAGUAACAAUGCUCACAUAUGUCAUCAUUACACCCACUCCCCACAAUUUUUCUGUGCUACUUUGAAUUUUAAAACAGCUGUACAAAGCUCGGGAAGAGAAGUACUUGCUGGAUAUACAAAGAGUUAACGGUCCUCAGUUUCUCUUCUUGGAUCUAUGCGCAGCCUUUCUUACCGAGCUCCGUGUGAUCUGAGAGCUUUUAACCAUUUGUUAAAGACAUUUGUUUCCACGGUUUGUAAUAGUAGAGAAGAUAGUGUAAGAUGUGGGUGCAGUGUUUACUUUGCCGGGUUACUAUUAUAUACAUGGAUUCAAGUUAAACUCUACUGUAAUAGUAACUAUCUUUUUUUCCAUUUUUGAUGGUUUCUAAGGUUUGGUCAUGUGUGCAUAAAACUUAGAUGUUCACAAUACACUCAGAUUCUUAAAUCGUGGCUACAAACUUCGUUUGACCAUUUUUAUAAUGUCUUUUUUUCUUUUCUUUUUCUUAGCCACAAGCCUAAUUCUUUUUGCUAUGUUUUCAGUUAUGAAUAUUUUCAAUUAUUUCACUUGGAUAUGUAUCAAAUCUAUCUGCAAAUGUAGGGAUAGGCGUUUGGAUACAUGUUCAAGUUAGGGUCAGAUAUUUCAGAUUUUUGGGUAUUUCAGUAUAGAAAUAUAAAACUCGUUUGGGUAUUUCUACAUUUUGGGUUGAGUUCGAGUAUUUUAAGUUCAGGUUCGGUUAUUUCGGGUCUUCGAAUAUUUAGAUUAUGAAGGAAAAAAAUAAAUUCUUCGUUGUUUAAGAUUUUUGUAUUUAAAAUAUGUAUUUUUAACUUAACUGAUUUUCUAAGUUUUAAUAGAUUAAACUAUUAAUAUGUUUUGAAGAUAAAACUUUUAAAAUAGAAACACACUAAUUUAAUUGUUAUUUUAAAAUUUUGGAUGCAAUUUUUGUUAAUAUAGAAAACAAGAGCUUGAUAUGUAUUUUAAUUGCAUAGCAACUGAUUUUGUCCAUAAUUAUGUGUAUUAUCUGAUUUGGAGCCAUGUGCAGUAUCAAUAUAAAUAUUUUGAAUAAAAUUAGAAAAGUAAAAUAGAAAUAUAGGGUUAAGUAUUCAUAUGUUCGGUUAUCUUCACAUAGCUAUUCGGAUUCGGAUAUUAUCCGUUCGGGUUCAGAUAUUCAAUCUCUCCUAAUUCAAUAUCUGUUCUAGUAUUUUACACUUCGGUUCAGAUUUUGGUUCGGGUUUUUCGGAUCGGAUUCCGAUACGGGUUCGGAUAUCGGGUAAAAUGCUCACCCCUAUGCAAAUGUAUCAAAUCUCUUCAUAUCAUAUAUUUCCAUACACUUUCUUUUCUUUUUUUUUUGGUCAAACAAUUUUCUUUUCUGGUCAUGAACUAUUAUAGAAAACCAAUGAAACAUUGACUUUAUUUUGUUUGCAUUGCAGUUGUGGUGCUACUCAAUAACUUCACCAUCCCACUCAAAAUAUCAAAUACAUUUUAGAAUAUAAAAACAAAAACAAAGAUCAAUUUUGUAAGUGGAGAGAAAGUCACAAGGCAUCAUGAAGUUUACAACACUAGCAUCCAUCGCGUUUGUUGUUGUUGUCCUCUUUUCAUCAACGGCGGCUCCGAUCAAUUCCCAACUUAUUCAAUCUAAUUCACCUUGCACCACUAUUGAUAUCACAGGAUGCGUUCCAGCCAUACUCUAUGGAGCACCACUAUCGCCAGAAUGUUGUCGGAAUCUGAAUGUACAACAACCAUGUUAUUGUGAUUUCAUAAAGAAUGCAGGUUUAAAGCCAUAUAUUACUUCCCCUCAAGGUCAUGCGGCUCUAGCGUCUUGUGGUAUUCCUUAUCCUACUUGUUGAAAUCCAAGAUAAUUAACAAAAGUAUUAUAUGGUGAAGAACAAUUAUGUUAUGUAAGAGUGAUGAUGAUUGGAAAUUCAUUAUAGUAUGUCAAUUCUUUGCAAUAUUUUAAAUAAAUCAUAUAUAACGUUUAAAAUAAAAAUAAAACCUUAGUUAUUAAAUGGAAUAAACAAACUUAUGUUCUUUAAUGUGAUAUUCAGUAACGAACCUAAAGAAAUAGUUUGAUGAAAUUUUAUUGGGUGCUUCUCUUACUUAAUUAUGUUGACCACCGAUUGUUGGAAGACAUGCAUCAAAGAGACAAAGUCACAAGACAUGAAGUGUACAUAACUAAUAGUACUCAUCGCCGUUGUUGUAAUCGUCGUGCUAUCUCCAGCUGCGAUCAAAUCAAGAGUGGGCGUAAAAUCUACAAAACCGCCUUGCACCGAGAUUGAUAUCAUAUGAUGUUUUCUAGCUAUAGUCUUAGGAGAUAAAUAUCGCCACAAUGUUGCCGAACACUGAAAGCACAACAACCAUGUUUUAGUGUGAUUUUAUAAAGGAUCCAGCUUUAAAACACUUCGCUACUUCCCCACAAGCUCACAUGGCCCUAGCGUCUUGUGGUUCUUCAUCCUGCAUGUUGAAGUAACCAAGAUAAUUAUUAAAAAUAAUAAUAUUAAAUAAUGGUCAAUAUUUUUAUGCAAGAAUGAUGAUGAUUAUAAAUUCAUAAUGUCAUUUAUCAUGGUUUUUCCAUGUAAGUUUUAAUAAAUCAUAUGUAAAGAGUGCUUGAAGCAUUUCAGAGAGACACUAUGAGCUCAACGUAAAAUAAUCAAUGAAGAUGUUUCCCUCAUAUUAUCAUACUCGAUAUCGUAUCCUUUAUAUACUAAAGCGCAAGUCGCAUCACCAAUCUAAAUUUGACAUGUGGAAAAUCUAUUUAAAAAAAAAAAAAUUGAAAAAUACAAAAAAGUAAAACACGUUAUCAAAACAUGGAAGUUUGAAAAUAAGACAAAUAACCAACCUUUUACGACCCAAUCAGGUAAAGCAAUUUUUUAUGAAUUUUUCUUUGCAUCUCCUAUUUUUCUGGAGUUUAAAUUUAAACUAACACAAGUCAUUUAACAAUGCUCUGAUUGACAUGUGUCAUUUACAGUUUCUAAAAAAGGUAACCUUUUGUUUUCAAAAUAAUUAAUUAAAUACAUUCAGAAUUUUCAGCAAUCGGGUAAACCUAAAAAACAAAUAAAACAACCGCAAAAUCCCUUGCAUACUUUUUUGAAACUGCAAAAUCUAAAUCCCUGAAUUUUCUCAGAUCACCACGUCCAAAAGUGAACAUAACAUCAUAACUUCUAUAUCAUGGCUGUUUCAAACUGUUUAUUAUUAUGUAUGUAUAUAUAACUUUCAGUCAACUAAUUUGUUUCUAUUCGCUCUUUUUUUUUGCCACAGUUUCAUCUUCCUCCUCGAAUUGUUUUUUUCUUUUGGGUUUUGAAUGUAACAAAAGAAAACAGUUACAUGUUUAUAUUUUUCCUAAAAAAAUCCAGAUUCAAUGUUACCUUUUUGUUGGUAAUUGAUUCAAUGUUUUCUUCUUCUUAACUUAAUGCUCUCUUCUUCUUUUUUGCAUGAUUCACAAUAAAGAUACCAAUGGAGUUUUCUCCUGAUUCAGAGCUUAGCUCUUCCAGAAAAAUGGGAAAUCAAAAGCAUUGUCAAGGUAAUAGUAAGUAUAUAUGGCUAUAUUAUAUAACGUAUAUUGGAUGUAGAUUACUUCUUUCUCUUUCUUUGACAAAAAGGAUUUGACUAUUUACAAAUAUGUGUUUCUUUCAUUGGUUUAUGCUUAAGAAGACCAAGGGACAACAGAUUUAGAUGUGUAUACAGAGAUUCCAAACACCAGACCUUAACUCGAUUUGAAAUACUAACGUGAGUAUUUGACAAUUUUUUCAGCUUACCAGAAUUUGUUUUGGUGUUUUAAAGCUUCCUCUCCAAAAAAUUAGGUUUAUAAUGGUUAUAGAGAAAAAGAAAACCUGGGCCAUAUUACCACUGAGGAACGUGAAUAUAGUUUUUGGUGCUGUGGUGGGAACUACCGAACAUGAUUAAGGUCAAUUGUUCAAGUAAAUUUAUGGAUAAUGAAAGUUGUUAUAUUUUCCUUGGUACAAUAUGUAUAUUUAUGGGUUUUAGUAGAAGAAGUAAGUUUGUAUUUAGACAAAAAAAAGUAAGUUUAUAAAAGUGUGGAUGAUAAAGCUAAUUAGUUCUGUAACAUGUACAUAGAAAACAAAAACGGAACAAAUGUCAAUGUGAUUUUAAUUUGUAUAUCACCAAGUUCUGAAAUUAAUCCCAGUUAUUUUAUUUUGACAAACAAAUUUAUUAUAUCCCUUAUAAGUACAAAGAAAUUGCAUAUUUUAUGUUUUAUAGUUUGUCAAUAUCUAAAUAAAAAUUUCACUAUCUUUUAUGGAUUUGUUAUGAUAUAUUAAUAAGAAGUUAAAUUUCUUUUUGAUACCUUAUGGAAAGCUAAAACAUAAAUAUAUCUAAACUUAUUUUCAUUCAGAACUAUUUAUAUCUAUCUUCAGAUUUAAUACUCUAACUUAAAUUUGACUCAAAAUAGUGUUUUCGAAUUUAGAAUGUAAUACUAUUAAACAUUAUAUGAAGACGAAGAAACAACAAGGUCGCACAAAUAGAGUUAAGAAAUGAGACCAUGUGUAGAAAUACUAAAGUAAUUGUUUUACCACUUUUAUUUCGGUUGUUUCAUUGUUAUUGUUUUUUCAUAGAUUUAUAGCCAUGUGGCAAAAGAAAGACAUCUUAUGUUUCCCUUAAGAAAUGUGAAGAUGACAUAUCGGUGGUGCUGCUGGGACGCAAUUGAGGUAAUUGUUAUGAUUUUUCUCGAUAUAUUAUCCAUAAUUUAUGUUUUAUGUAAAUAUAAAUUAACACUCUUCGGUAUCUCUUGACACCCAAUAAAAGUGGUAUGACAAUAUACGUGGAGUUAAUAUAUUUUUAACCCAAAGUGUAUUGUCAAUACAAUACACGUUCAAAAUAUAUGUUGAAUUUAUAAAAAAUUAAGAUUGUUUCCCGUACGUAGUACGGGAUCAAACACUAGUAUUGAUAUAAACUAUGAGAAAAGAUUAUUGAAUAUAUUAACGACGUGAGUGUGGUCGGAUGGUUCGGUGGACUUAGAGAAGUGUUAAAUUUCCAGGAUUUGAAACAUACCAUGCAGAUUUACCUAUCAUUAUGACCAGACUGGUGUGGAUAUUUAAUUCUAUUGUAGAAUUCUGGGUUUGUCUGUCGCCGAUAGACCAGCCUCCAGAGAAUUAGUUGAGUUCAGAUUCGGAUACUCCCAAAUAAUAUAAAAAAAAGAUUAUUGAAUAUUGAAAUACUAGGAUAAAAUAAUAUCCAAGACUAAAAAUGGAUAUAUUAGUUGUAAAUAUAUUAGUGAAAUUAUACUCUCGUCGGUUCUUGGACCUGAGUGUUCUCCUACUUAGCAUGGUGUGGUUUCUGUACCACGGCGGCGAGUUCGUGAGCUUCAGCACAGGUGGGGUGGUGUCUGAGCUAUGUGGCCAGCUCGCGUAGGUCCUGUAGGAGGUUUAAAGAGCGGCCGUCUAUGCUGCUUGAGUGGCCUCUCGCAUUACUUCCUCACCAUCGGCCUUCCUCUUCACGGUCCCUCCUCCGGAUGAUUUGUGCUCUGUUUUCAAAUCCCGUUUCUUGCUGUGGCAAGUUCAGCUCUAGCGUCUCCAAUUUUAGUUCGUCGAUUCUUGGCGACGAUGAGCGAGUGGUGGUUCUUAUUAGAGUAUACAAGACAAGCCCAAGACAAUACCAACAAGCCCAUUACUAUGUUAUAAAGCUAUGUGUGUUAGGGUUCCUUUACAAGUAGACUAGUAGUAUAAAUGUGAUUGUAAUGUGAUGAACAAAGUAACUUUGGCUGCGUUGAAUGCAGCCUCUCCUUUCAUAUUUAUGAAUCAUUUACAAUCUUACUUAUCUUGGUGACAAACAUAAAGAUUCUUCCUUUCUUUAGUUUCAUUGCACAAUAAAGCUUCCUGAAGCUAUUUCAUUUUCUGUGUCAAUAAGCUCUUGUGAGCAGAAUCUAUGUUGUUUUGAGUUUAUUCACAUGGUAUCAGAGCUGCAGUCGAUCAGGGAUCUACAAAUUUUUAUUUCUUGCUCUCAAGCUUCUGCUCGUUUCUGUUGAAGAAGUUUCGUGGCUUACAAAAAAAAAAAAACAGAGCUUUGUCUGAGAAAGAAGAACCUGCGAGAAGACCAAGCCUCUCAACGUUGCCCUGCCCAAGCCUCUCAACACUGUCACUUUCCAUAACUAAAGCUUCAAACUUUUAAUCCAUGAAGAUUCAGAGGGUCUUGAAGAAGGAACAAACGACCAUUUUCUACCCCUGAAGCUCCAAGGAUUUAGUGUUUUCUCGAUCCAAGCAAGCAGAGAAACAAGACAUGAGCUUUAUUUGAAGAAGAAGAGUUUGGUUCAUCUGAAGAAGAGUCUGAGUCCUCAAGCCGUUGAUGUUCAGUCGUUGACACGUUUCUCUAAAGUCAGAACCUUUGAGAGUGCACGAAGAUUGAAGAGUCUGAGUUUCGAAGGGAAACGUUUCACGUCAUACAUCACGUGUCAUGAGUGGCCAGAGAUCAAGCGGACUAGAGGCAUCACAUACUUCAUCGCUGGAUGGAAGAAGUCUUCAAACCAAAAUAUCUAUGGUAAUAUUCGUGAUCUCUUAUUAGACAUGGUUUGAGAUGGAUAUUGGCUGGUUUAGAUUCGUAGGUCUGGAACUCAGAAAGUUAGAUGAGAUAGACUGUGAUUGAUUAGGCUGAUAAGGGUGUGUUUAGAUAAGCAAGUUAGGGUCGGAUAUGCUGAAUGCACACAACCUGUUCGAUGAAAUGCCAAAGAGAAUGAACUGCAAUGUUCUAGUUGGUUAUUGGAUGGAAAAUAGACAGUGGGUAGGAUUGAAGUUGUUGUGGGAAAGUCCCUUUUGUAUCAGACAAAUUUGUUGAGUUACAUGGGUCAUGAAAGAACCCGGACUCUUUGUGAGAAAGAAAGGUCACAAUGUACCUCUGAGUGAGAUCGACAAAGCUCUCCAAGUUCAAGAGAAACCUCUGAGUGAAGCCAUGCGAUACUCUCCAAGUAUAGACCAACAAUCUCUUCUAUGUGGUGAAUUGAAGAUUACACCUAUAGCUCCAUUUGAUCAUGCUUCCACUACCUACUCCCCAAGCCAUUUGCAUUUGCGGUUCAAACUCAGCAUCUUGCUUUCACCUGACGCUAAGUUUGCGGGAGAGUAUUAGAGUAUACAAGACAAGCCCAAGACAAUACCAACAAGCCCAUUACUAUGUUAUAAAGCUAUGUGUGUUAGGGUUCCUUUACAAGUAGACUAGUAGUAUAAAUGUGAUUGUAAUGUGAUGAACAAAGUAACUUUGGCUGCGUUGAAUGCAGCCUCUCCUUUCAUAUUUAUGAAUCAUUUACAAUCUUA